rnacentral:lncRNA from 1 species
UUGUCAGAUUACUUAUGAAAUGCUUUCUUCCCCUAUGAUCUUGUUGUGCCUCCUUAACAGAGUCGUGAAUAAAUGAUAUGUAAUAGAUGAAUUAAUAAUAAAGAAUAUCUUCAUUAAUAAAUGAGCAUUUAGAUAUAGUGCAAUGUAUCCACACACCUGGUUUACUUGGGUUUAUGGCCUGUAAACGCAGUGGAGCGCUCUCUCCUGUCCCUAAGCCACACAGCCAAAAGUGAGACCACUGGAGCUCCUCUAUUCACAAACAGCUUGGCCUCCACAAGUCUGUCUGAAGAGCACCUGAUCAUAAGAACAAGUGACUAAGGGGCUAAACUUGUACUUGCAGAUGCUCUUACACUAACAUGCAUGUACUAUCAGUUCUUUAUAACUCAUGAAGCCGUAGCUUCUUGCUGAUGGACAGCCAUCUUUCCUCAAAAGAAGCUCAGUUUCACGUAAUACAACAUUGUUUGGAAAGUGUGGUGGUGAAUUUUUUGUGUCAACUUGGCUAGCCUGUGGUGCCCAAUUGUUUAGUCAAAUGCUGGUCCAGAUAUUGCUGUGAAGGUAUUUUGAAGAUGUGAUUAACAUUUACAAUUAUUUGGUUUUAAGUAAAGGAGAUUAUCUUCCAUAAUGUAGAUGGGCCUCAUCCAAUCAAUGGAAGGUCAAACGAACAAAACACUGAGGUUUCUCAAAGAAGAAGGAAUUCCAUCUCAAGGCUUGGGUUUCCAGCUUGCCGGCUCUACAGAAAUUUUGGACUUACCAGCCCCCACAAUCAUGUGAGCUAAUUUGUUAAAAUCAGUCUUUUUCUUUAUCUAUCGAAUGAUACAUAUUUAGAUAUAGAUACAUAGAUAUAGAUAUCCAUCCUAUUGGUUCUUUUCCUGUGGAGAACCCUGACUGACACAGGAAGGUAACUUCCCUCCCUAUAAUGUUCCUGUGUGACAUAUGGAACUGUCAAUGGCCCCACUGGUGGCCAUUCACUCUGAUAUUGUGCAGAUUCUCAUGAGCCAUGGACCUCUGGGGCCAUUGUGACUUCCAACAAGAUCAGGCACAUAGCAGGCACUUGUGCCCACAUGUGUCCUUCCUCUCGUGGAUCCACCGUCCCACGGGAGCUGCGGGGAGACUCCACAGUGGCUGUUUGAGUUGGUGCUCUUGCUGCUCUGCCCUCUUGAGGCCUGGUUCUUCAUCAUUUCCUGGCUUAGGCUCCCUGGUUGGGCACAGAGAGGAAGUCACUGUCUUUGGAUUUUCAGGACACCUAGAGUUUCCUUAG